GAUGAAGAACGCAGCGAAAUGCGAUAAGUAAUGUGAAUUGCAGAAUUCAGUGAAUCAUCGAAUCUUUGAACGCACAUUGCGCCCAUUAGCAUUCUAGUGGGCAUGCCUGUUCGAGCGUCAUUUCAACCCUUAAGCCCUGUUGCUUAGCGUUGGGAGCCUACAGUACUGUAGCUCCCCAAAGUUAGUGGCGGAGUCGGUUUCACACUCUAGACGUAGUAAUUUUUUCUCGUCUGUAGUUGAGCCGGUCCCCUGCCGUAAAACACCCAAUUUAUCAAGGUUGACCGCGGAUCAGGUAGGAAUACCCGCUGAACUUAAGCAUAUCAAUAAGCGGAGGA
rnacentral:misc_RNA from 1 species